rnacentral:rRNA from 1 species
GUGGGGAAUUUUGGACAAUGGGCGCAAGCCUGAUCCAGCAAUGCCGCGUGCAGGAAGAAGGCCUUCGGGUUGUAAACUGCUUUUGUACGGAACGAAACGGUCCGGGUUAAUACCCUGGGCUAAUGACGGUACCGUAAGAAUAAGCACCGGCUAACUACGUGCCAGCAGCCGCGGUAAUACGUAGGGUGCAAGCGGUAAUCGGAAUUACUGGGCGUAAAGCGUGCGCAGGCGGUUUUGUAAGACAGGCGUGAAAUCCCCGGGCUCAACCUGGGAAUUGCGCUUGUGACUGCAAGGCUGGAGUGCGGCAGAGGGGGAUGGAAUUCCGCGUGUAGCAGUGAAAUGCGUAGAUAUGCGGAGGAACACCGAUGGCGAAGGCAAUCCCCUGGGCCUGCACUGACGCUCAUGCACGAAAGCGUGGGGAGCAAACAGGAUUAGAUACCCCAGUAGUCC